rnacentral:rRNA from 1 species
GAUAAACGCUGGCGGCGCACAUAAGACAUGCAAGUUGAACGGACUUAAUCGAAAUAUUUAUAUUUUGAAGCGGUUAGUGGCGGACUGGUGAGUAACGCGUAAGGAACCUGCCUAUUAGAGGGGAAUAACAGUGAGAAAUCAUUGCUAAUACCGCAUAUGCCAUAGAUAUCGCAUGAUAACAGUGGGAAAGGAGCAAUCCGCUAAUAGAUGGCCUUGCGUCUGAUUAGAUAGUUGGUGGGGUAACGGCCUACCAAGUCGACGAUCAGUAGCCGGACUGAGAGGUUGAACGGCCACAUUGGGACUGAGAUACGGCCCAGACUCCUACGGGAGGCAGCAGUCGGGAAUAUUGCGCAAUGGAGGAAACUCUGACGCAGUGACGCCGCGUAUAGGAAGAAGGUUUUCGGAUUGUAAACUAUUGUCGUUAGGGAAGAGAAAGGACAGUACCUAAGGAGGAAGCUCCGGCUAACUACGUG